GAUGAAUGCUGGCGGCGUGCCUAAUACAUGCAAGUCGAGCGAACGGACGAGAAGCUUGCUUCUCUGAUGUUAGCGGCGGACGGGUGAGUAACACGUGGAUAACCUACCUAUAAGACUGGGAUAACUUCGGGAAACCGGAGCUAAUACCGGAUAAUAUUUUGAACCGCAUGGUUCAAAAGUGAAAGACGGUCUUGCUGUCACUUAUAGAUGGAUCCGCGCUGCAUUAGCUAGUUGGUAAGGUAACGGCUUACCAAGGCAACGAUGCAUAGCCGACCUGAGAGGGUGAUCGGCCACACUGGAACUGAGACACGGUCCAGACUCCUACGGGAGGCAGCAGUAGGGAAUCUUCCGCAAUGGGCGAAAGCCUGACGGAGCAACGCCGCGUGAGUGAUGAAGGUCUUCGGAUCGUAAAACUCUGUUAUUAGGGAAGAACAUAUGUGUAAGUAACUGUGCACAUCUUGACGGUACCUAAUCAGAAAGCCACGGCUAACUACGUGCCAGCAGCCGCGGUAAUACGUAGGUGGCAAGCGUUAUCCGGAAUUAUUGGGCGUAAAGCGCGCGUAGGCGGUUUUUUAGUCUGAUGUGAAAGCCCACGGCUCAACCGUGGAGGGUCAUUGGAAACUGGAAAACUUGAGUGCAGAAGAGGAAAGUGGAAUUCCAUGUGUAGCGGUGAAAUGCGCAGAGAUAUGGAGGAACACCAGUGGCGAAGGCGACUUUCUGGUCUGUAACUGACGCUGAUGUGCGAAAGCGUGGGGAUCAAACAGGAUUAGAUACCCUGGUAGUCCACGCCGUAAACGAUGAGUGCUAAGUGUUAGGGGGUUUCCGCCCCUUAGUGCUGCAGCUAACGCAUUAAGCACUCCGCCUGGGGAGUACGACCGCAAGGUUGAAACUCAAAGGAAUUGACGGGGACCCGCACAAGCGGUGGAGCAUGUGGUUUAAUUCGAAGCAACGCGAAGAACCUUACCAAAUCUUGACAUCCUUUGACAACUCUAGAGAUAGAGCUUUCCCCUUCGGGGGACAAAGUGACAGGUGGUGCAUGGUUGUCGUCAGCUCGUGUCGUGAGAUGUUGGGUUAAGUCCCGCAACGAGCGCAACCCUUAAGCUUAGUUGCCAUCAUUAAGUUGGGCACUCUAAGUUGACUGCCGGUGACAAACCGGAGGAAGGUGGGGAUGACGUCAAAUCAUCAUGCCCCUUAUGAUUUGGGCUACACACGUGCUACAAUGGACAAUACAAAGGGCAGCGAAACCGCGAGGUCAAGCAAAUCCCAUAAAGUUGUUCUCAGUUCGGAUUGUAGUCUGCAACUCGACUACAUGAAGCUGGAAUCGCUAGUAAUCGUAGAUCAGCAUGCUACGGUGAAUACGUUCCCGGGUCU
rnacentral:rRNA from 1 species